GAUGAACGCUGGCGGCGUGCCUAAUACAUGCAAGUCGAGCGAACAGACGAGGAGCUUGCUCCUCUGACGUUAGCGGCGGACGGGUGAGUAACACGUGGAUAACCUACCUAUAAGACUGGGAUAACUUCGGGAAACCGUAGCUAAUACCGGAUAAUAUAUUUAACCUCAUGGUUCAAUAGUUAAUUACGUUUUUGCUGUCCCUUAUAGCUGGCUCCGCGCCGCAUUAGCUAGUUGGUAAGGUAACGGCUUACCAAGGCAACGAUGCGUAGCCGACCUGAGAGGGUGAUCGGCCAAACUGGAACUGAGACACGGUCCAGACUCCUACGGGAGGCAGCAGUAGGGAAUCUUACGCAAAGGGCGAAAGCCUGACGGAGCAACGCCGCGUGAGUGAUGAAGGUCUUCGGAUCGUAAAACUCUGUUAUUAGGGAAGAACAAAUGUGUAAGUAACUAUGCACGUCGUGACGGUACCUAAUCAGAAAGCCACGGCUAACUACGUG
rnacentral:rRNA from 1 species